CCAGACUCCUACGGGAGGCAGCAGUGGGGAAUAUUGGGCAAUGGGCGCAAGCCUGACCCAGCAACGCCGCGUGAAGGAAGAAGGCUUUCGGGUUGUAAACUUCUUUUGUCAGGGACGAAGCAAGUGACGGUACCUGACGAAUAAGCCACGGCUAACUACGUGCCAGCAGCCGCGGUAAUACGUAGGUGGCAAGCGUUAUCCGGAUUUAUUGGGUGUAAAGGGCGUGUAGGCGGGAAUGCAAGUCAGAUGUGAAAACUAUGGGCUCAACCCAUAGCCUGCAUUUGAAACUGUAUUUCUUGAGUGCUGGAGAGGCAAUCGGAAUUCCGUGUGUAGCGGUGAAAUGCGUAGAUAUACAGAGGAACACCAGUGGCGAAGGCGAUUAACUGGACCGUAACUGACGCUGAGGCACGAAAGUGUGGGUAGCAAACAGGAUUAGAUACCCGAGUA
rnacentral:rRNA from 1 species